rnacentral:rRNA from 1 species
UAUCUCUGUAGAGUCUGCAUAUCAAUAAGCGGAGGAAAAGAAACUAACAAGGAUUCCCUUAGUAACGGCGAGUGAAGCGGGAAGAGCUCAAAUUUGAAAUCUUCAAGGUUCUACCUUGACGAAUUGUAGUUUAAAGAAGUGUUUUCUGUUAGAUGAGUAGCAAAAGUUCCUUGGAAUGGGACAUCAUAGAGGGUGAGAAUCCCGUAUUUGGUUAUUCAUUCUAGCUUUGUGAUACACUUUCAAAGAGUCGGAUUGUUUGGGAAUGCAGUCCAAAAUGGGUGGUAAAUUUCAUCUAAAGCUAAAUAUUGGCGAGAGACCGAUAGCGAACAAGUACCGUGAGGGAAAGAUGAAAAGAACUUUGAAAAGAGAGUUAAACAGUACGUGAAAUUGUCAAAAGGGAAGCGUUUGAUCACCAGUGUUGUUUUUCCGAAAAUCAAUUACGAAUGGCUUGAUUUUGUGUUGUAUUGACCUUAUCAGCUUUCUUCACUUUUUUCGAGUCUUUCUUAAUGCACUUUUCGGUUAACAAGUCAACAUCAAUUUCUUUUGUUGUAAAAGAGUAUUCGGAAGGUGGCUUUCUUUUCGGAGAAAGUGUUUAUAGCCCUAUACUUCUACAAUCGGAGAGAUUGAGGUCUGCAGCGUAGAUCCUUCGGGGUUAGAUACACUUGUGCUAAGUUGUAGCUUUUCAUAGACAACUUGCUGACUAUGUUUAGUCUAUGCGGCUUACUCGCUUAUGCUAUUUUACCUACGCUUAGGAUGUUGACUGAUAUGUAGUCGU